AUUGAACGCUGGCGGAAUGCUUUACACAUGCAAGUCGAACGGCAGCACGGACUUCGGUCUGGUGGCGAGUGGCGAACGGGUGAGUAAUACAUCGGAACGUGCCCAGUCGUGGGGGAUAACGUAGCGAAAGCUACGCUAAUACCACAUACGAUCUAAGGAUGAAAGCGGGGGACCGUAAGGCCUCGCGCGAUUGGAGCGGCCGAUGGCGGAUUAGGUAGGUGGUGGGGUAAAGGCUCAACAAGCCGAGGAGCUGUAGCUGGUGUGAGAGGACGACCAGCCACAGUGGGACUAAGACACGGCGCAGACCCCUACGGGGGGCAGCAGUGGGGAAUUUCGGACAAUGGGCGCAAGCCUGAUCCAGCCAUUCCGCGUGCAGGAUGAAGGCCCUCGGGUUGUAAACUGCUUUUGUACGGAACGAAAAGGCUCUGGUUAAUACCUGGGGCUCAUGACGGUACCGUAAGAAUAAGCACCGGCUAACUACGUGCCAGCCGCCGCAGUAA
rnacentral:rRNA from 1 species